UACGGAAGGGGCAAGCGUUGUUCGGAAUCAUUGGGCGUAAAGGGCGCGUAGGUGGUUCUGUAUGUCUAUCGUGAAAGCAUACAGCUCAACUGUAUUUUGUCGGUAGAAACUGCAGGACUUGAGGCUGGGAGGGGCUGGUGGAAUUCCGCGUGUAGCAGUGAAAUGCGUAGAGAUGCGGAGGAACACCGAUGGCGAAGGCAGCCCCCUGGGCCAACACUGACGCUCAGGCACGAAAGCGUGGGGAGCAAACAGG
rnacentral:rRNA from 1 species